AACUUUCAACAACGGAUCUCUUGGUUCUGGCAUCGAUGAAGAACGCAGCGAAAUGCGAUAAGUAGUGUGAAUUGCAGAAUUCAGUGAAUCAUCGAAUCUUUGAACGCACAUUGCGCCCCUUGGUAUCCCGAGGGGCAUGCCUGUUCGAGCGUC
rnacentral:rRNA from 2 species